UACGGAGGGUGCAAGCGUUAUCCGGAUUCACUGGGUUUAAAGGGUGCGUAGGUGGGUUGGUAAGUCAGUGGUGAAAUCUCCGUGCUUAACAUGGAAAUUGCCAUUGAUACUAUCUGUCUUGAAUAUUGUGGAGGUGAGCGGAAUAUGUCAUGUAGCGGUGAAAUGCUUAGAUAUGACAUAGAACACCAAUUGCGAAGGCAGCUCGCUACACAUAUAUUGACUCUGAGGCACGAAAGCGUGGGGAUCAAACAGG
rnacentral:rRNA from 1 species